rnacentral:rRNA from 1 species
UGAUCUGGGGCCGAGGAAUGUGGUGUUUGGGAGGACCAUGACCGCCUGUCCGGCUUUCGUCCAAGUCUCCAUGAACGGGGCGAGCAACCCAGAGAGGGUGUCAGGCCCGUGGUAUUGGCGAGUCGCGACCGUGGUAGAGGUCUCUCCUUGGAGUCGGGUUGCUUGAGAGUGCAGCUCUAAGCGGGAGGUAAACUCCUUCUAAGGCUAAAUACGGCCACGAGACCGAUAGCGAACAAGUACCGCGAGGGAAAGUUGAAAAGAACUUUGAAGAGAGAGUUCAAGAGUGCGUGAAACCGUUCGGAGGGUAAAACGGGUGGGCGCUCGAAGAUCGAACGAUCCUUACUCCCGCCAUCUGCACGCCAGUCUCCCGCAGAUCCAUCAAGUGUGCCCACGCCUUCACGGGCGCGAGUUUGCCACUGGUCUGUGGGAGUUCACUGGCGGCCGUGCAGGGGCCGCAAGUUUGGGAUCCAGUA